rnacentral:rRNA from 1 species
GGGUUGUGAGGUUAAGCGACUAAGCGUACACGGUGGAUGCCCUGGCAGUCAGAGGCGAUGAAGGGCGUGCUAAUCUGCGAUAAGCGCCGGUAAGGUGAUAUGAACCGUUAUAACCGGCGAUACCCGAAUGGGGAAACCCAGUGUGACUCGUCACACUAUCAUUAACUGAAUCCAUAGGUUAAUGAGGCGAACCGGGGGAACUGAAACAUCUAAGUACCCCGAGGAAAAGAAAUCAACCGAGAUUCCCCCAGUAGCGGCGAGCGAACGGGGAGGAGCCCAGAGCCUGAAUCAGCAUGUGUGUUAGUGGAAGCGUCUGGAAAGGCGCGCGAUACAGGGUGACAGCCCCGUACACAAAAGCGCAUGUGCUGUGAGCUCGAUGAGUAGGGCGGGACACGUGGUAUCCUGUCUGAAUAUGGGGGGACCAUCCUCCAAGGCUAAAUACUCCUGACUGACCGAUAGUGAACCAGUACCGUGAGGGAAAGGCGAAAAGAACCCCGGCGAGGGGAGUGAAAAAGAACCUGAAACCGUGUACGUACAAGCAGUGGGAGCACCCUUUGGGUGUGACUGCGUACCUUUUGUAUAAUGGGUCAGCGACUUAUAUUCUGUAGCAAGGUUAACCGAAUAGGGGAGCCGGAGGGAAACCGAGUCUUAAUUGGGCGUUAAGUUGCAGGGUAUAGACCCGAAACCCGGUGAUCUAGCCAUGGGCAGGUUGAAGGUUGGGUAACACUAACUGGAGGACCGAACCGACUAAUGUUGAAAAAUUAGCGGAUGACCUGUGGCUGGGGGUGAAAGGCCAAUCAAACCGGGAGAUAGCUGGUUCUCCCCGAAAGCUAUUUAGGUAGCGCCUCGUGAAUUCAUCUCCGGGGGUAGAGCACUGUUUCGGCUAGGGGGCCAUCCCGGCUUACCAACCCGAUGCAAACUGCGAAUACCGGAGAAUGUUAUCACGGGAGACACACGGCGGGUGCUAACGUCCGUCGUGAAGAGGGAAACAACCCAGACCGCCAGCUAAGGUCCCAAAGUCAUGGUUAAGUGGGAAACGAUGUGGGAAGGCCCAGACAGCCAGGAUGUUGGCUUAGAAGCAGCCAUCAUUUAAAGAAAGCGUAAUAGCUCACUGGUCGAGUCGGCCUGCGCGGAAGAUGUAACGGGGCUAAACCAUGCACCGAAGCUGCGGCAGCGACACUGUGUGUUGUUGGGUAGGGGAGCGUUCUGUAAGCCUGCGAAGGUGGCCUGUGAGGGUUGCUGGAGGUAUCAGAAGUGCGAAUGCUGACAUAAGUAACGAUAAAGCGGGUGAAAAGCCCGCUCGCCGGAAGACCAAGGGUUCCUGUCCAACGUUAAUCGGGGCAGGGUGAGUCGACCCCUAAGGCGAGGCCGAAAGGCGUAGUCGAUGGGAAACGGGUUAAUAUUCCCGUACUUGGUGUUACUGCGAAGGGGGGACGGAGAAGGCUAUGUUGGCCGGGCGACGGUUGUCCCGGUUUAAGCGUGUAGGUGUGUGUUCCAGGUAAAUCCGGUUCACUUUAACACUGAGGCGUGACGACGAGGCACUACGGUGCUGAAGCAACAAAUGCCCUGCUUCCAGGAAAAGCCUCUAAGCAUCAGGUAACAUCAAAUCGUACCCCAAACCGACACAGGUGGUCAGGUAGAGAAUACCAAGGCGCUUGAGAGAACUCGGGUGAAGGAACUAGGCAAAAUGGUGCCGUAACUUCGGGAGAAGGCACGCUGACACGUAGGUGAAGUGAUUUACUCAUGGAGCUGAAGUCAGUCGAAGAUACCAGCUGGCUGCAACUGUUUAUUAAAAACACAGCACUGUGCAAACACGAAAGUGGACGUAUACGGUGUGACGCCUGCCCGGUGCCGGAAGGUUAAUUGAUGGGGUCAGCGCAAGCGAAGCUCCUGAUCGAAGCCCCGGUAAACGGCGGCCGUAACUAUAACGGUCCUAAGGUAGCGAAAUUCCUUGUCGGGUAAGUUCCGACCUGCACGAAUGGCGUAAUGAUGGCCAGGCUGUCUCCACCCGAGACUCAGUGAAAUUGAACUCGCUGUGAAGAUGCAGUGUACCCGCGGCAAGACGGAAAGACCCCGUGAACCUUUACUAUAGCUUGACACUGAACAUUGAGCCUUGAUGUGUAGGAUAGGUGGGAGGCUUUGAAGUGUGGACGCCAGUCUGCAUGGAGCCGACCUUGAAAUACCACCCUUUAAUGUUUGAUGUUCUAACGUGGACCCGUUACCCGGGUUGCGGACAGUGUCUGGUGGGUAGUUUGACUGGGGCGGUCUCCUCCUAAAGAGUAACGGAGGAGCACGAAGGUUGGCUAAUCCUGGUCGGACAUCAGGAGGUUAGUGCAAUGGCAUAAGCCAGCUUGACUGCGAGCGUGACGGCGCGAGCAGGUGCGAAAGCAGGUCAUAGUGAUCCGGUGGUUCUGAAUGGAAGGGCCAUCGCUCAACGGAUAAAAGGUACUCCGGGGAUAACAGGCUGAUACCGCCCAAGAGUUCAUAUCGACGGCGGUGUUUGGCACCUCGAUGUCGGCUCAUCACAUCCUGGGGCUGAAGUAGGUCCCAAGGGUAUGGCUGUUCGCCAUUUAAAGUGGUACGCGAGCUGGGUUUAGAACGUCGUGAGACAGUUCGGUCCCUAUCUGCCGUGGGCGCUGGAGAACUGAGGGGGGCUGCUCCUAGUACGAGAGGACCGGAGUGGACGCAUCACUGGUGUUCGGGUUGUCAUGCCAAUGGCACUGCCCGGUAGCUAAAUGCGGAAGAGAUAAGUGCUGAAAGCAUCUAAGCACGAAACUUGCCCCGAGAUGAGUUCUCCCUGAGACUUUAGGUCUCCUGAAGGAACGUUGAAGACGACGACGUUGAUAGGCCGGGUGUGUAAGCGCAGCGAUGCGUUGAGCUAACCGGUACUAAUGAACCGUGAGGCUUAACCUUACAACGCCGAAG